GUGACAGCCAGGAAACCGAGAACGGAAUGCCAAUACUGCUUAGGCUUAGAGUUUGAAAGGCAUCUGAUUUCACUGCCAUGUCUUUGAACAGCAGUGCACAGUGCAGUCUUCUUCGUGGCUGAACAGAGCUAAGGUCUUGCUAUGUUGCCUAGACUGGUUUUGAACUCCUGGGCUGAAGCAAUCCUCCCACUUCGGCCUCUCAAAGUGCUGGGAUAUCAGACAUGAGCCACCUGCCAUGCUUGGCCUAUCAGAGCUGAAUAAUUGUAUUGGAGAAUGUGUGGCCCACAAAGCUUGACUAUCUGGCCCUAUACAGAAGAAGUUUGCUGAUCUCUGACUUAGCUGCCUAGGAAUAGCCAGGCAACCAGCUGCUACUUUGAGCACCCGGCUAAAAUAAGCAGAGACAACUGGAAGGCUUGAUGUGAAAAAGAGCUGUUGAAGUGUACACAAGCAAGCUGACUGCCUUAUGACUAAUACUUGACAGAACCCAGCAAGAGGAUAUGAGAUUGCAGAUGGAUGACCUCAAUCCUGAACAGAAAGGCGUGCAUGAUAAUGGAGAGAAAAAAGCCAAUGGGGAAAAAAAACCCACCACUAUUUUUUUAAUAGCCUAACACACACACAAAAAACUGGUUUUCCUUUUUCUGUAAUGUGUCUGUAGAGCUGGCUAUUCUGAUUAAAGUUGCCCUUGAAAAAGCAAUUAA
rnacentral:lncRNA from 10 species